rnacentral:rRNA from 1 species
CAGUAGCCGCGGGAAUACGAAGGGGGCUAGCGUUGUUCGGAAUUACUGGGCGUAAAGGGCGCGUAGGCGGCCAUUCAAGUUAGAUGUGAAAGCCCUGGGCUCAACCUAGGAAUUGCAUUUGAUACUGUUUGGCUUGAGUUCGGGAGAGGUGAGUGGAAUUCCCAGUGUAGAGGUGAAAUUCGUAGAUAUUGGGAAGAACACCAGUGGCGAAGGCGGCUCACUGGACCGACACUGACGCUGAGGCGCGAAAGCGUGGGGAGCAAACAGGAUUAGAUACCCCAGUAGUCCCUGUCUCUUAUAU